rnacentral:rRNA from 1 species
UGGGGAAUAUUGGACAAUGGGCGCAAGCCUGAUCCAGCCAUGCCGCGUGAGUGACGAAGGUCUUCGGAUUGUAAAGCUCUUUUGGCGGGGACGAUAAUGACGGUACCCGCAGAAUAAGCCCCGGCUAACUUCGUGCCAGCAGCCGCGGUAAUACGAAGGGGGCUAGCGUUGUUCGGAAUUACUGGGCGUAAAGCGCACGUAGGCGGACUGAUAAGUCAGGGGUGAAAUCCCGGGGCUCAACCUCGGAACUGCCUUUGAUACUGUUAGUCUCGAGUCCGGAAGAGGUGAGUGGAAUUCCUAGUGUAGAGGUGAAAUUCGUAGAUAUUAGGAAGAACACCAGUGGCGAAGGCGGCUCACUGGUCUGGUACUGACGCUGAGGUGCGAAAGCGUGGGGAGCAAACAGGAUUAGAUACCCUCGUAGUCCCUGAGCGGGCUGGCAAGGCGCAU